GAAUGCCACGUGGGUACAUGCGAUCGGGCUGCAACUGAUGCAUAACACUCCAAACCCAGGAGAAAACCAAUGUGAUUAUCCAAAUAAAAUAAUUUAAGAAAAUGAUCGCCCUUUCGGUUUGGUAUUCUUAAUUUGAGAAAUCCUUUGUCCUUUUUUUGGUUAAAAAAAAAAUCCUUUGUCGUUUGUGUAGAUACAAGUACAAUGUUCUUGUAAUGGAGGACCCCACAAGUGGUAACUAUUUAGUUUCUCUAGUAUACAGUCGUUAACGUCAUCGUCUUUGAAGAAUCAACGUAGUGCUUAUAUAGUUAUACAUCUCGGCAUGCUUACUUUCUGAGGUAUUUGUUGACUUUUUCAGGUGCCGUUAAUUUUUCUUUUAAAUUUUAAUUUUAGUCGGUUAUUUUCUUAAAUUUUUAUAAAAUGCCAAUUUUUCAUUGAACUUUAAUUUUAGCCGAUUAUCUUUCUGAACUUUUAUAAUUGGUCAGUUUAUAGUAAUGAACUUGUUGAGAUUAGUAAUUAUUAUUUUGAUUUGAAUUUGGGUCUAGAAUUGAAAUAGGUGAAUCGAGACGGUCGUGUGAAUCAAGUUACAAGGAAGACUAAUGAAGUGGCAUCACAACCCAAAUUGUUGCUAAAAAGCAAAACCAUGGAGAAGAUUCAUAGUUAUCCAUAUUAGGGAUAAGUUCAAACAAAAAGUGUACAAAUUGAAUUAGUGGAAGAGAAGAAGGAAAAAAAUAUAUGUUGUCUAUAUUAGAGAUAAAAUUACCUUUUUGCUCUCUGACAAUUGUCAUGUGCCGAGAUGGAUAGAAAAUUGGAUGAAAAAAUUUAAAAUCUAAUGUUAGGAGGGAAGUGGCCAAUUAUAAAAGUUUAGGGGCAACGACUAAAAUUAAAGUUUAGAAGGAAAUUGGUAAAUAAUAAAAGCUCAAAGAGGUAAUUGGCUAAAAUUAAAGUUUGGAGGAGAAAUUUGUCAAUUCCUUACAAGGUUGUGGGAGGUUAGGGGCCACAAAUACUUUUACUUUUUUUUUAAUCUCCUUUUGAGUUUUUAAACAAGUGACACACACUUAUUAGAUAGUGGUGCCACUAUAAUUAUGUCUUGUAAGCUUCGCAAAAUUUACUAACCAUGGGGUUAUAGAAGCUGUAUUUUGUUUAUGUUUCUUUCUUAUUGUUUGGACCCAAAUUUACAUCAUUGGU
rnacentral:lncRNA from 1 species